rnacentral:rRNA from 1 species
AUGAACGCUGGCGGCGUGCCUAACACAUGCAAGUCGAGCGGAGAAUUGUUGCUUGCAACAAUUCUUAGCGGCGGACGGGUGAGUAACACGUGGGUAACCUGCCCUAAACAAAGGGAUAACAAUGAGAAAUCAUUGCUAAUACCGUAUAAGCUUACACUAUCGCAUGAUAGAGUAAGAAAAGAUUUAUCGGUUUAGGGGGGGCCCGCGUCUGAUUAGCUAGUUGGAGAGGUAACGGCUCACCAAGGCGACGAUCAGUAGCCGACCUGAGAGGGUGAUCGGCCACAUUGGGACUGAGACACGGCCCAAACUCCUACGGGAGGCAGCAGUGGGGAAUAUUGCACAAUGGAGGAAACUCUGAUGCAGCAACGCCGCGUGAAGGAAGAAGGUUUUCGGAUCGUAAACUUCUAUCUACAGGGAAGAAAAAAAUGACGGUACCUGAGUAAGAAGCCCCGGCUAACUACGUG